rnacentral:tRNA from 1 species
GAAUUUUUAGUAUUAUUUUUUGGUAUUUUUGAUUGUUGAUCAAAGGGUUAUAAUAAUU